AUUGAACGCUGUCGUCAUGCCUAACACAUGCAAGUCGAACGAGUGGCGGACUGGUGAUUAAUGUCUGGGAAACUGCCUGAUGGAGGGUGCUAACUCCUGGAAACGGUAGCUAAUACCGCAUACCAUCAGAUGUGCCCAGAUGGGAUUAGCUUGUUGUUGGGGUAACGGCGCACCAGGGCGACGAUCCCUAGCUGGUCUGAGAGGAUGACCAGCCACACUGGAACUGAGACACGGUGCAGACUCCUACGGGCGGCAGGAGUGGGGAAUAGUGGACAAUGGGCGCAAGCGUGAUGAAGCCAUGCCGGGUGUAUGAAGGAGGGGUGCGGGUUGGAAAGUACUUUCAGCGGGGAGGCGUUACAGGAAGAGGAAGCACCGGCUAACUCCGUGCAAGCAGCCGCGGUAAUUC
rnacentral:rRNA from 1 species